ACCCCGGCUUUUCUCAAAGCCACAACCAACAUUUGUCACGUGCACG
rfam:Allomyces macrogynus ATCC 38327 genomic scaffold supercont3.10, whole genome shotgun sequence.